rnacentral:rRNA from 1 species
CACCACCGGCGGACGGCUCAGUAACACGUCGGUAACCUACCCUCGGGAGGGGGAUAACCCCGGGAAACUGGGGCUAAUUCCCCAUAGGCCUGAGGUACUGGAAGGUCCUCAGGCCGAAAGGGACUUAUGUCCGCCCGAGGAUGGGCCGGCGGCCGAUUAGGUAGUUGGUGGGGUAAUGGCCCACCAAGCCGAAGAUCGGUACGGGCUGUGAGAGCAGGAGCCCGGAGAUGGACACUGAGACACGGGUCCAGGCCCUACGGGGCGCAGCAGGCGCGAAACCUCCGCAAUGCGGGAAACCGCGACGGGGGGACCCCGAGUGCCGUGGCAACGCCACGGCUUUUCCGGAGUGUAAAAAGCUCCGGGAAUAAGGGCUGGGCAAGGCCGGUGGCAGCCGCCGCGGUAAUACCGGCGGCCCGAGUGGUGGCCGCUAUUAUUGGGCCUAAAGCGUCCGUAGCCGGGCCCGUAAGUCCCUGGCGAAAUCCCACGGCUCAACCGUGGGGCUUGCUGGGGAUACUGCGGGUCUUGGGACCGGGAGAGGCGGGGGGUACCCCUGGGGUAGGGGUGAAAUCCUAUAAUCCCAGGGGGACCGCCAGUGGCGAA